rnacentral:rRNA from 1 species
GACGUAGGGCGCGAGCGUUGUCCGGAUUUAUUGGGCGUAAAGAGCUCGUAGGCGGCUUGUCGCGUCGUCCGUGAAAACUUGGGGCUCAACCCCAAGCUUGCGGUCGAUACGGGCAGGCUCGAGUUCGGUAGGGGAGACUGGAAUUCCUGGUGUAGCGGUGAAAUGCGCAGAUAUCAGGAGGAACACCGGUGGCGAAGGCGGGUCUCUGGGCCGAUACUGACGCUGAGGUGCGAAAGCGUGGGGAGCAAACAGG